rnacentral:rRNA from 1 species
CCUACGGGAGGCAGCAGUGGGGAAUCUUGCACAAUGGGGGAAACCCUGAUGCAGCGACGCCGCGUGAGUGAUGAAGCCCUUCGGGGUGUAAAGCUCUUUCGACAGGAACGAUAAUGACGGUACCUGAAGAAGAAGCUGCGGCUAACUACGUGCCAGCAGCCGCGGUAAUACGUAGGCAGCAAGCGUUGUUCGGAAUUACUGGGCGUAAAGAGUGUGUAGGCGGUGCUCUAAGUUUGGUGUGAAAUCUCCCGGCUCAACUGGGAGGGUGCAUCGAAAACUGGAGUGCUCGAGGGUGGGAGAGGCAAGCGGAAUUCCUGGUGUAGCGGUGAAAUGCGUAGAUAUCAGGAGGAACACCUGUGGUGUAGACAGCUUGCUGGACCAUUUCUGACGCUGAGACACGAAAGCGUGGGUAGCAAACAGGAUUAGAUACCCUUGUAGUC